UUGUCUCAAAGAUUAAGCCAUGCAUGUCUCAGUACAAGCCAAAUUAAGGUGAAACCGCGAAAGGCUCAUUAAAUCAGUUAUGGUUCCUUAGAUCGUACCCACAUUUACUUGGAUAACUGUGGUAAUUCUAGAGCUAAUACAUGCAAACAGAGCUCCGACCGGAAACGGAAGGAGCGCUUUUAUUAGAUCAAAACCAAUCGGUGGCGGUUCUCCGUCAUCGUACAACUUGGUGACUCUGAAUAACUUUACGCUGAUCGCACGGUCUUGCACCGGCGACGCAUCUUUCAAAUGUCUGCCUUAUCAACUGUCGAUGGUAGGUUCUGCGCCUACCAUGGUUGUAACGGGUAACGGGGAAUCAGGGUUCGAUUCCGGAGAGGGAGCCUGAGAAACGGCUACCACAUCCAAGGAAGGCAGCAGGCGCGCAAAUUACCCACUCCCGGCACGGGGAGGUAGUGACGAAAAAUAACGAUACGGGACUCAUCCGAGGCCCCGUAAUCGGAAUGAGUACACUCUAAACCCUUUAACGAGGAUCAAUUGGAGGG
rnacentral:rRNA from 1 species